GCAUCCUAGGAGAGACAGGCUGGAAACCAAGUGGAAAAGAAAAAAGUAAAGAACCCAAAGACCCUGACCAGCUUUACAGCACGCUCAAGGGCAUCCUCCAGCAGGUGAAGAGCCAUCAAAGCGCUUGGCCCUUCAUGGAACCUGUGAAGAGAACAGAAGCUCCGGGAUAUUAUGAAGUUAUACGGUUUCCCAUGG